rnacentral:lncRNA from 1 species
AGGGACAGAUGUCAGAAGAGCCACCUAUGUGACCAUGCCUUCUGUGAUCAUCAGAGCCUGGCCUAGCUGGGUCAAACCUAAGACCAGCACGGCUUCUGUUCUCAUCCCAGAGCUGUAUCCACGGAGCACAUGGCUUCCGACCUCGGUGGCUGUGUCUCCGGACGCAGAGAGCUCUUCUGUGCAGUGCAGACUCAGCCCCACAGCAUGAGACUCCCCGAAGACACCGACAGGAUCAAGAUUUGUGCUGCUGGAAUGAUUCGGGAGUCCCUCUGCUCUUCAUGGUCCACGGGGAAGAAUAAAAAGAUGUAACCACC